rnacentral:rRNA from 1 species
AGUGAACGCUGGCGGUAGGCCUAACACAUGCCAGUCGAACGGCAGCACAGUAAGAGCUUGCUCUUACGGGUGGCGAGUGGCGGACGGGUGAGGAAUACAUCGGAAUCUACUUUUUCGUGGGGGAUAACGUAGGGAAACUUACGCUAAUACCGCAUACGACCUACGGGUGAAAGCAGGGGAUCUUCGGACCUUGAGCGAUUGUAUGAGCCGAUGUCGGAUUAGCUAGUUGGCGGGGUAAAGGCCCACCAAGGCGACGAUCCGUAGCUGGUCUGAGAGGAUGAUCAGCCACACUGGAACUGAGACACGGUCCAGACUCCUAAGGGAGGCAGCAGUGGGGAAUAUUGGACAAUGGGCGCAAGCCUGAUCCAGCCAUACCGCGUGGGUGAAGAAGGCCUUCGGGUUGUAAAGCCCUUUUGUUGGGAAAGAAAAGCAGCAGGUUAAUACCCCGCUGUUCUGACGGUACCCAAAGAAUAAGCACCGGCUAACUUCGUG